CCUACGGGAGGCAGCAGUGAGGAAUAUUGGUCAAUGGACGAAAGUCUGAACCAGCCAAGUAGCGUGAAGGAUGACGGCCCUAUGGUUUGUAAACUUCUUUUAUAGGGGAAUAAAGUGAUCCACGUGUGGGAUUUUGUAUGUACCAUAUGAAUAAGGAUAGGCUAACUCCGUGCCAGCAGCCGCGGUAAUACGGAGGAUGCGAGCGUUAUCCGGAUUUAUUGGGGUUAAAGGGCGCGUAGGUUGAUUGUUAAGUCAGUGGUGAAAGUUUGUGGCUCAACCGUAAAAUUGCAGUUGAAACUGGAAGUCUUGAGUACAGUAGAGGUGGGCGGAAUUCGUGGUGUAGCGGUGAAAUGCUUAGAUAUCACGAAGAACUCCGAUUGCGAAGGCAGCUCACUGGACUGCAACUGACACUGAGGCUCGAAAGUGUGGGUAUCAAACAGGAUUAGAUACCCCAGUAGUC
rnacentral:rRNA from 1 species